CCUGCGUGGCUGGGCUGCUCGGGUUAGAUCGUCAGGUGAGGGAGGAAGGGAUAGCCAGCGCGAAGGAAGUGCUGGAGUCGUGUGUUUUGGCUGCGCGUGAUCCUGCGUGGGUCGGGAGGUGUUUCUGUGAAAAGCCUAAAGAUUAGACUGUAAGAAAAGAAAAUAGAAGCCAUGUUUCGAAGACCUGUAUUACAGGUCUCGAAUUUAUUUGGAAGGGAAAAUAGACUAUGGUGAAUACAUGGAUAAAAAUAAUGUGAGGCGACAAGCAACAACAAUCAUAGCUGAUAAUAUUAUAUUUCUGAGUGACCAGACGAAAGAGAAGGAGUAGAAAGGAUGAUUCUUCUUUGGCCAUCAUUUGGUACAGUCUCAUUUCCAAGUCAUGUAUAAUCUUUAUGGCUUCCAAGGACAAGAAUUAAAAUACUCUUUUACGU
rnacentral:lncRNA from 1 species